rnacentral:rRNA from 1 species
AGGGUGUAAACGCUGCAGACUUGGUGUUGGGAACCCUUCGGGGGUGCUCAGUGCCGGAGAGAAGUUGUUAAGUCUGCUACUUGGGGAGUACGUCCGCAAGGAUGAAACUUAAAGGAAUUGGCGGGGGAGCACCGCAACGGGAGGAGCGUGCGGUUUAAUUGGAUUCAACGCCGAAAAACUCACCAGCAGCGACUGUUACAUGAAAGUCAGGUUGAUGACCUUACUAGAUUUUCAGAGAGGUGGUGCAUGGCGUCAGUCGUGU